ACAUGAUGAUUUGGACAUUGGGCUAGUUUUCCAUUAAACCAUUCCCAUGCUUCAAAUAAUAACUCUCCAUUCAUUUACCAAAAAUUCACAAUCUCAUCCCACUUU
rfam:Capsicum annuum cultivar Zunla-1 chromosome 7, whole genome shotgun sequence